rnacentral:rRNA from 1 species
AGAGUUUGAUCAUGGCUCAGGAUGAACGCUAGCUACAGGCUUAACACAUGCAAGUCGAGGGGAAACGACAUCGAAAGCUUGCUUUUGAUGGGCGUCGACCGGCGCACGGGUGAGUAACGCGUAUCCAACCUGCCCACCACUUGGGGAUAACCUUGCGAAAGUAAGACUAAUACCCAAUGAUAUCUCUAGAAGACAUCUGAAAGAGAUUAAAGAUUCAUCGGUGAUGGAUGGGGAGUGCGUCUGAUUAGCUUGUUGGCGGGGUAACGGGCCCACCAAGGCAACGAUCAGUAGGGGUUCGUGAGAGGAAGGGUCCCCCACCAUUGGAACUGAGACACGGUCCAAACUCCUACGGGAGGCAGCA